rnacentral:rRNA from 1 species
UACCAGCACCCCGAGUGGUCGGGACGAUUAUUGGGCCUAGAGCAUCCGUAGCCGGUUCUACAAGUCUUCCGUUAAAUCCACCUGCUCAACAGUUGGGCUGCGGAGGAUACUAUAGAGCUAGGAGGCGGGAGAGGCAAGCGGUACUUAGUGGGUAGGGGUAAAAUCCGUUGAUCCAUUGAAGACCACCAGUGGCGAAGGCGGCUUGCCAGAACGCACUCGACGGUGAGGGAUGAAAGCUGGGGGAGCAAACCGG